rnacentral:rRNA from 1 species
GACGAACGCUGGCGGCGUGCCUAAUACAUGCAAGUCGAACGCAGUGGGGACGGGUGAUUAACACGUUGGUAACCUCCCAUUAGAGGGGAUAACACUUGGAAACAGGUGCUAAACCGAUACUGAUGGAUGGACCCGCGGUGCAUUAGCUAGUUGGCGAGGUAACGGCUCACCAAGGCCACGAUGCGUAACUGGCCGGAGAGGAUGAUCGGCCACACUGGAACUGAGACACGGCCCAUACUCCUACGGGAGGCAGCAGUGGGGAAUAUUCGGCAAUGGGCGAAAGUCUGACCGAGCCACGCCGCGUGUGUGAAGAAGGUUUUCGGAUUGUAAAGCACUGUUGGUGGAGAAGCGGUAUCUAAACAGAAAGCAACGGCUAACUACGUGCCAGCAGCCGCGGUAAUAC